rnacentral:rRNA from 1 species
UACGAAGGGGGCUAGCGUUGCUCGGAAUCACUGGGCGUAAAGCGCACGUAGGCGGACUCUUAAGUCGGGGGUGAAAUCCUGGAGCUCAACUCCAGAACUGCCUUCGAUACUGGGAGUCUUGAGUUCGGGAGAGGUGAGUGGAACUGCGAGUGUAGAGGUGAAAUUCGUAGAUAUUCGCAAGAACACCAGUGGCGAAGGCGGCUCACUGUCCCGAUACUGACGCUGAGGUGCGAAAGCGUGGGGAGCAAACAGG